rnacentral:rRNA from 1 species
UACGGAGGGUGCGAGCGUUGUCCGGAAUCACUGGGCGUAAAGGGCGCGUAAGUGGCGCAGGAAGUCAACGGUGAAAGUUCGGGGCUCAACCCUGAAUCGGCCGUCGAUACUCCUGGGCUCGAGCACUGUAGAGGCAGAUGGAAUUCCGGGUGUAGCGGUGGAAUGCGUAGAGAUCCGGAAGAACACCGGUGGCGAAGGCGGUCUGCUGGGCAGUUGCUGACACUGAGGCGCGACAGCGUGGGGAGCAAACAGG